CGAUACUUGGUGUGAAUUGCAGAAUUCAGUGAAUCAUCGAAUCUUUGAACGCACCUUGCGCUCCCUGGUAUUCCGGGGAGCAUGCCUGUUUGAGUGUCAUGGUAUUCUCAACCUUCAUAACUUUUGUUAUCGAAGGCUUGGACUUGGAGGUUGUGCUGGCUUCUAGUUAAGUCGGCUCCUCUUAAAUGUAUUAGCGUGAGUGUAACGGAUCGCUUCGGUGUGAUAAUUAUCUGCGCCGUGGUCGUGAAGUAACAUAAGCUUGCGCUUCUAACCGUCCUUCAGUUGGACAAUUACUUUGACAUCUGACCUCAAAUCAGGUAGGACUACCCGC
rnacentral:rRNA from 1 species